rnacentral:lncRNA from 1 species
UGUUUUGUAUUAUUUUUGUUUUUAUUUAUUUUAUUAAAAAGUUUGAAUUUUGAAACUUAUAGGUGUCAGUCGAUCCCGGCCUGCCUCUACAUCGGCAACAACGCCCGGCUUGCCUAUACAGCGGCAGCAAUGCCAAACACCAUCUUAGGCAUUGUUCCCAGCUAGUUUCCCCACUAAGACGUUCACAGCUAGUUUCCCCCAUCAUGGAAAGAUUCCAAGACCAACCCUCACAGAGUCAUUCGUCUGUUGAGAGUUUGGGUCUUUAAAGAACAACUAACUAUGCAGACCAACAUACUACAUAACAUCAACAAUAGGAAUUCCAAA